AGCUUUUAUCAGUCACUUUUGCCCUCCAUGCUUUUCCAUGGCGUGGAGCCAACUUCUUUCUUACCCUCUUCCAGGUUGUGGGAAGAGUAGAGACAUGAUGAGAAGCAGAGGGAUAGACAUUUCAAAACAGAGCCAUUCUGACACUGAGCAACUUAUUUAGCCAGCAAGGCAUUGCUGAAACAUUGUAGGGACCUCGGGCUGUUGGACCUCGGGCUGUUGCACUCCUUCCAGUGCCUCUGGGCCACGCUCACUGCAGACCAGCUGGCACCUGGCAGCCAGCCCAGCACCUGAAGAUGUGGGGUUUCCAUGCCCCAGGUGAAGAACACUACUGCAGCUAAUAGAGGAUAACAAGGAAAAACUGUGAAAAAUCCUGCCUGUGGGACUGUGAAAAAUCUUGCCUGUGGGACUGUGGAAGACAAAAGUCUUUUGUAAGUGCCCCUGUGCCACUCUCACAAACAAAUGGGGGACUAGGAACAUGGAGCUGAGGUCAGUCUUGCGCUGCAAUUAGGAGAGACUGAGGGAAAAGCACGGACAAGCUGUACCCCCAGGGCAGGAGCUGUGGGCUCACAUUCCCUGCCCUUGGAAUUUGUUGGGCUGGAAGGAGCUGUGCUGGAUGGAGCCGUAUUGAACAUCCUUGUUGUCCUUGAAGGAAGUGAGCUGCAAAGAAAGAAAUGCUCCGAUGGCCUCAAGGAUCAUACAGGAUAGCAGAUGAACUCUCUCCAGCCAUUCUGUGUCUUUCUCAAAUUGGACCCCAGAACUGGAACCCAGUAUUCCAGAUGUGACCUCACUUAGCAGAUCACAAAACACAGACCUACAUGAUAUAUCUCCUUGAAGAGCCAAAUAGCAGCAAGAGAAUGAGUGAAAGCUGCACAUAACAGGUGGAGAAACAGGAGAAUGGAAAGAUGAAGGGAAUCAAGUACAAGGUCUCAUGAUUACUUAAUUGCCAUGCCCACACCUUGUUCCAUAAUGCAUACAAGAUUUCAGCCACCCAAUCUACUAAAAUCUCUCUCAGGACAUGUCAGACUUUAACUAAGCAUCCUCCUCUCAUCCUGCUGGGUUAUCCAUUCCCCUUGGCUUUUUGCCAUCUUCUGUUAUGCAUUAUCCCAUCAGUUUUGGUCCUCACAUUACAUAUGAGACUUAACAUACUACUUACUGCUGCUUAUGUCAGUUACUUAACACAAGGAGAUUCCCAAGCUUCCCAGCUGUUCUCAUCCCCCAUCUUAACUGUGCUACCUAUGGUAUUUGGCAAUGUUCUGUCAGCCAACCCUCCUGGCCAUUCAACUCUGCUAACUCAAUGUAGCGUGCGAGGGACACUGUAGGAGAAAGAAAGGCAGGUUUAGCAUCUAAGAGCACCCAAGUAAAUCUAAAGACUGAAAUGAUCCAUCCCAAAGGGAACCUAAUCAUUAUUACUGGUCGAACACCAUGCUAUCCUGUGAUAGAAGGAAGAUCUUUGAUAAGUUACUCCGUCUCCUCACGCCAAUCUACUGCUAGAGGAGGGUAAAUAUUCAAAGAUUGUAUACCAAAAUAACUCUUAGCAUUUAGAAGAGGCUGUGGUAGCAUCUGCAGUGAGAAAGAGUAAGCUUAUGUGGUAUUCCAUUCCUACCUGCUAGGAUGACAUUAGGACCAAAUAUUUAAAUACACCAUCUCUGUUCCCAGGCUAUGGAGCCAAAAAUGGUGUGAUCAAAGCAGAUUCCUUGCUUCCACAUACUGUUUCAUGUGGGUUUUUUUGUUGCACUGGGACUUCCUGCAGGGCUCGGACACACAGGACUCUUACCCAGGCAGAAGCCCAAUGGCUGAACAGGGAGAUCCUCUGCAUCUCAUGAGCACUCUACCACGGCGAGGGGCCCAUAACAACUUCUGUCUCUGCCCGGGGCCCCAAACGAGUACCCCUCACCUCGCACUGAAAGGCAGCUGCCCGGGGGCAGGGAUGAUUGGCGAGAACUCGGGGCCCCUGCCGCCGGCGGGAGAAC